rnacentral:rRNA from 1 species
UAGGGAAUCUUCCGCAAUGGACGAAAGCCUGACGGAGCAACGCCGCGUGAGUGAUGAAGGUCUUCGGAUUGUAAAACUCUGUUAUUAGGGAAGAACAAAUGUGUAAGUAACUAUGCACGUCUUUACGGUACCUAAUCAGAAAGCCACGGCUAACUACGUGCCAGCAGCCGCGGUAAUACGUAGGUGGCAAGCGUUAUCCGGAAUUAUUGGGCGUAAAGCGCGCGUAGGCGGUUUGUUAAGUCAGAUGUGAAAGCCCACGGCUCAACCGUGGAGUGUCAUUGGAAACUGGAGAACUUGAGUGCAGAAGAGGAAAGUGGAAUUCCAUGUGUAGCGGUGAAAUGCGCAGAGAUAUGGAGGAACACCAGUGGCGAAGGCGACUUGCUGGUCUGUAACUGACGCUGAUGUGCGAAAGCGUGGGGAUCAAACAGG